CACACCUCAGUCCUCACCAUUUCUUCCCCAACUCGACAUUUCUAUCUCUCAUUCGCUCUGUCUCUCUUUCUCUAUUUACCAUGGCAUGAAAUGACUUUUUGAUCAUGCGGUCUCUCAUCCCUAUCGUCCUCUCUCUGUCUUGCAGCCUCUCUGCCUCGGCGUCUCCGUUUAUCCGCCCUCUGCGUUUCCAGCUACCCACCUGUUUUCUUCGCACUUCUCUGCAAUUCCUCCCUCCCUCUAAAAAAAAAUGGAGAUCGUAUCAUCUUCCAUUGCUACAGAGAUCUAGCUCUUCUAAUUCCGAAAAUUACCCAUCGCAAAACCUAAAUAAAUAGUACAUCUUCAUUCUGUCUAAGCCCUAAAUUGUUCGAACAACAUAUAUCAUGUUGCAUGGCUAUAGAGGCAGAUUCUAUCUUGCUACAUCCGAAAGUCAAUAAAGGAAGAUAUAUGUUGAAGAGCACUGGAAACAGUUGGACCUAUACAUGCAGAGAGAUUAAGAGUUCUAAACCCUUCUCUCAAAAGGGUCAAAGAAAUUUUCCACAAGAUAAGUACAUUCAUAGCUCAAAUAUGUGCUAAUCUGCCUAAAAU